AUUGAACGCUGGCGGCAGGCCUAACACAUGCAAGUCGAGCGAGCGGCGGACGGGUGAGUAAUGUAUGGGAACGUGCCUGAUGGCGGGGGAUAACUACUGGAAACGGUAGCUAAUACCGCAUACCAUCAGAUGAACCCAUAUGGGAUUAGCUAGUAGGUAAGGUAAAGGCUUACCAAGGCGACGAUCCCUAGCUGGUUUGAGAGGAUGACCAGCCACACUGGUACUGAGACACGGCCCAGACUCCUACGGGAGGCAGCAGUGGGGAAUAUUGCACAAUGGGCGAAAGCCUGAUGCAGCCAUGCCGCGUGUAUGAUGAAGGCCUUCGGGUUGUAAAGUACUUUCAGUCGGGAGGCGGUAUCGGCAGAAGAAGCACCGGCUAACUCCGUGCCAGCAGCCGCGGUAAUUC
rnacentral:rRNA from 1 species